AUACCUACUAUGUGAAUACAGUGGGAAUAUCAAAAUGAUCUAUCCAUGAUCUAUGAUUUCAAACUGAUGACUUGGAAGAUCAAUCUUACAGUAAAUUAAGUGUUAUACUAACAGGUGUCAGUGAAGUACUAUGACACAUGUAAUAAAAACUGGCUAAUUUUACGAGAUGCUAGAAGAAGAGAAAGAAGCAAAGAAUCAGAGAAGAUCUCAUCUAGUUAUCUGACUAAUAAUGGCUUUUCUUCAGAUUGAGAAGUAUCUGUGGGUGGCAACAGCGAAUAGGAGGUUGAUAUGAGGACCUAAAAGACUUGAAGAGACUCUGCUUUGUUUUGAAUCAUUCAUAUGUGGUGCCACACUAUUCAGAAAUUAAUGUUAUUCCAUAAAUGAAUAAUGAUUUAAAUGUACUCAGUAAUUGUAAAUGCACAAGCAUUUUUCCUGUCAUAAAAUAAUAAAAAAAAUGAUGUGGUUU